GGAGUGGACGGGGGUCCGUCAUUUCAUGUGGCCCAGAAGUAGAUAUCGCCGUCCACUCCAAUACAAGUGGGGAACAGGAUUGUGUCUCCGCAAGAAAUGUUUGGAUAUCAAUCAAAGGCUCAUAAUUAUAUUUCUACCCUGUUCUAAAAAAAUGUACGUUUUUUCUUUUCAAAACGCCUCCUCAAGCGUUUUAUUAGCAGUUUACGUUGGGUACAGCAGCUGAAACGAGCCGUACUGAAACAAACGGCUCCUUGCUAUGAUCCUAUUUUGAAGUGCACGGCUCCAUUAACUUCCGAAUUAAAUUAAAUUCCGAAUUAACUUCCAUUAACUUCCAAAGACAAUGUGGUAUUGGCAUAUAUGUUCCAGAAUUUGAAAAAGGAUAUGGAUAUAGAGUGGGUGACUUUAUCAGUAUACUCAAUCGAGAUGGCCACAAUAAUAACCGCUCUUAGAUGGGUUGUAGAUACUAAGUUUUAUAACAAAUAAUUCAAUACGUGAAGAUUUGGUGAUAGAGGUAAAGCAUCUUCUUUUAAAUAUUAUAAGCCUUGGUUUAGUUAUUCAGU